ACUAUUGAGAGUUUGAUCCUGGCUCAGGAUGAACGCUGGCGGCAAGUUUUAGGCAUGCAAGUCAAUCCCGAUCGCAAGAUUGGGAGGCAAACGGGUGCGUAACACAUUGGUAAUCUCCCCUUCUCACGGGCAUAAUCUGCCGAAAGGUGGAAUAAUACCCGAUAUCUUCCAUCCGCAAAGGCGGGCGGAAGAAAGCUCCGGCGGAGAAGGAAGAGCCUAUGGCCCAUCAGCUUGUUGGUAGGGUAAUGGCCUACCAAGGCUACGACGGGUAGCGGGUGUGAGAGCACGACCCGCCUCACUGGGACUGAGACACUGCCCAGACUCCUACGGGAGGCUGCAGUCAAGAAUCUUCCACAAUGGGCGAAAGCCUGAUGGAGCUAUGCCGCGUGCCGGAAGAAGGCCUUCGGGUUGUAAACGGCUUUUAUUAGGGAACAAACCGACCUCGUCGGAUUUGAGGGUACCUGAUGAAUAAGAGGUUGCUAACUCUGUGCCAGCAGCAGCGGUAAUACAGAGACCUCAAGCGUUAUCCGAAUUUACUGGGCGUAAAGCGUCCGCAGGUGGUUUUGUAAGUCAGGCGUAAAAGCCAGAAGCUCAACUUCUGUUCGGCGCUUGAUACUGCAUAACUAGAGGCUGGGAGAGGCAAGUGGAAUGCCUGGUGUAGCAGUAAAAUGCGUUCAUAUCAGGUAGAACACCAAAUGCGAAAGCAGCUUGCUGGAACAGUUCUGACACUCAUGGACGAAAGCGUGGGGAGCGAAUGGGAUUAGAUACCCCAGUAGUCCACGCCGUAAACGAUGGAUGCUAGGUAUUGGCAGUAUCGACCCUGUCAGUGCCGCUUCAAAAAAAGUUAACACGUUAAGCAUCCCGCCUGGGAAGUACGGCCGCAAGGCUAAAACUCAAAGGAAUUGACGGGGACCCGCACAAGCGGUGGAGCAUGUGGUUCAAUUCGACGAUAAGCGAGAAACCUUACCAAGGCUUGACAUGUAGCUGCAUUCCGGUGAAAGUCGGAAGCCUUCGAGGGUGCUACACAGGUGCUGCAUGGUUGUCGUCAGCUCGUGCCGUGAGGUGUACCGUUAAGUCGGGUAACGAGCGCAACCCUCAUCUUAUGUUGUAUAUUUCAUAAGAAACUGCCCCGGUCAACGGGGAGGAAGGUGGGGAUGACGUCAAAUCAGCAUGGCUCUUACGCCUUGGGCUACACACGUGCUACAAUGGAUGGAACAAUGGGUCGCGAAACCGUAAGGUUCAGCUAAUCCUAAAAAUCCAUCCCUAGUUCGGAUUGGGGUCUGCAACUCGACCCCAUGAAGCCGGAAUCGCUAGUAACCGUGAAUCAACUCGUCACGGUGAAUACGUUCUCGGGUCUUGUACACACCGCCCGUCACGUCAAGGGAGCUGGUAGUACCCGAAUCCGCCUUACGGCGGAGAAGGUAAGACCAGUAACAGGGACGAAGUCGUAACAAGGCAUCCGUAGCGGAAGCUGUGGAUGGAUCACCUCCUUU
rfam:Parcubacteria bacterium GW2011_GWA2_44_12 TW24_C0019, whole genome shotgun sequence.